CUGCUCUGAGGGAAACGGCUUUUCCCGCCUUUUUCCAACUUCCUGCCUUUCGAAACCUGACCUUCCCCUCAGUUUUAGGCGCCAAGGAGGCCGAUUCCUGGCAGACCAGGCGGCAGUUUCCCUGGGCUCCCUCGUUUAUCGGGGGAUUUCUUUUCAUUCUUUGUAAUUUCUGUUUAUAUCUCUUGCUUUUGCAGCUUAUAUCUGCUUCUUCAGAAAGGCAUUUUGCUUUAUUAAAAAUACCCUUACACCACCGCUUUGCCUGCAUGCCAUCCAGUAUUUAAAUCCAUUUAUUCAAAUAGAUUUCGAAAUAGUCCUUUAUAGUGCCACCCUCUUCCUUCUCUCUCUGCUCCUCUGGUGUCACUGAGGAGAAAUGAAGAGGCUCCUCCGCCUCAGGCGUUGCAUGUGUAUCUGUGUGGGAGAGAGAAAACUGGGUGGAAGAAGCGCCCAAGGAUCCUGUAGUGGCCCCAGCAGAAGCCAUCCACCAUGGACUUGGAGCCCUGCAGGUAGUCCUUGUCUCACUUUUGGAUGUGGGGCUCCUCCACUGCGAACAUGGCCACAAUCUUCCCUCGGUCAUCAGCGAAAUAGAAGAACUCCUGCCAGUCAAAGAAGUACCUGUACAGGUAGCGAACCCACUGCAUGCUGUUGGGAGAAGUGGCAACCCUGCUUCAUCUGGUAUAGGGUGUGUUGGGGGGGGCAGGAGGGGCGUAAAGGAAGGUCAGGUGUGGGAGGGGAGCGGGAACAGGCAGAUACCCUUGCUCCCUCCUGCCAUCGUGGCAGGACCCCAUCUGCCCCCCACCCCAGCUAAGGAUCAACAGUCACAUCAUGCAGGGUUGCCACCUGCCCUGUAUAAUACGUUGGAUGGAUCAGAGUCAUUUAUUCCUAGAAACAACAUUGUGUGAAGUUUCCAGAAGAUGGGUUAUUAUAAUGGGUUAUUAUAACAGGUACAAGGAAAACAGAGAAAAAAGUGAAAUAUUUAGGAGUGUGAUGUUGUUGUUUAGUCAUUUAGUUGUGUCCGACUCUUCGUGACCUCAUGGACCAGAGCACGCCAGGCACUCCUAUCUUCCACUGCCUCCCACAGUUUGGUCAAACUCAUGCUGGUAGCUCAGAGAACACUGUCUAAUCACCUCGUCCUCCAUCGUCCCCUUCUCCUUGUGCCCUCCAAUUUUCCCAACAUCAGGGUCUUUUCGGCAAAUAAUCCUAAUAACUAAAAUGAUAAUGAUGUGAAGAUUUGGAAAGAAACAUAAAAAGAAAUAGAAAUAGUGAUAAGAAUGAAACUAUUGUGGAUGGUGAGAAUCUUGGCAAUAAAAAUGAAUGUAAUAGUAAAUAAUU